GUCUACAGCUAUACCACCUUGAAUGUGACUGAUCUCAGAAGUGAAGCAGAGUUGGUCCUGGUUAGUGCUUGGAUGGGAGACCAACUGGACCUUCUAAUAGUGGAAU
rnacentral:rRNA from 1 species